GGGAAGCUGCCUGGAGUGACCCAACACAUGCUGCUCGACACGGCCAGCGACGUGCCGUGGGUACAGUGCGCGCCCUGCCCACAGCCGCAGUGCUACCGACAGACGGACGUCACCUACGACCCAAGCAAGUCCGGCACCUAUGCCCCCUUCCCCUGCAGCUCCUCCGUCUGCCGCCAGCUCGGACCCUACGCCAAUGGCUGCACCGGCGCAGGCAACACCGGCCAGUGCCAGUACCGCGUCCAGUACCCCGACGGAUCAUCCACCUCCGGCACCUACAUCUCCGACGUGCUCACCAUCAACCCCACCCCCGCCGGCACCGUCGGCAGCUUCCGCUUCGGGUGCAGCCACGCCGUGCAGCGCCCCGACCUCUUCAGCAACACCACCGCCGGAAUCAUGUCUCUCGG
rnacentral:lncRNA from 1 species